rnacentral:rRNA from 2 species
AAAUUGAAGAGUUUGAUCAUGGCUCAGAUUGAACGCUGGCGGCAGGCCUAACACAUGCAAGUCGAACGGUAGCACAGAGAGCUUGCUCUCGGGUGACGAGUGGCGGACGGGUGAGUAAUGUCUGGGAAACUGCCUGAUGGAGGGGGAUAACUACUGGAAACGGUGGCUAAUACCGCAUAACGUCGCAAGACCAAAGAGGGGGACCUUCGGGCCUCUUGCCAUCAGAUGUGCCCAGAUGGGAUUAGCUUGUUGGUGAGGUAACGGCUCACCAAGGCGACGAUCCCUAGCUGGUCUGAGAGGAUGACCAGCCACACUGGAACUGAGACACGGUCCAGACUCC